CGAAAGUGCUGGUAAUACCCGAUGACGUCACGACAUCGCAUGGUGUCGCGACCAAACGGUGGAGCCUUCGGGCAUCUGCCUGAGGAGGGGCCCAUGUCCUAUUAGCUUGUUGGUGAGGUAACGGCUCACCAAGGCAGCAAUGGGUAGCCGGUCUGAGAGGAUGGUCGGCCACACUGGGACUGAGACACUGCCCAGACUCCUACGGGAGGCUGCAGUCGAGAAUCUUCCGCAAUGCACGAAAGUGUGACGGAGCGACGCCGCGUGGAGGACGAAGGCCCUCGGGUUGUAAACUCCUGACAGAGGGUAUGAAGGCGCCCGUGAUCCACACGGUGCGCUUGACGUAAACCUCAAAGGAAGCUGUGGCUAACUACGUGCCAGCAGCCGCGGUAAUACGUAGACAGCAAGCGUUAUUCGGAUUCACUGGGCAUAAAGGGUGCGUAGGCGGUUCGUCAUGUCGGUUGUGAAAUCCCCCGGCUUACCCGGGGAACUGCAGCCGAAACUGGCGGACUUGAGAACAGGAGGGGAGAGUGGAACUCUAGGUGGAGCGGUGAAAUGCGUUGAUAUCUAGAGGAACGCCAGUAGCGAAAGCGGCUCUCUGGCCUGUCUCUGACGCUGAGGCACGAAAGCUAGGGUAGCGAACGGGAUUAGAUACCCCGGUAGUCCUAGCCGUAAACGAUGGGCACUAGGUAGACGCGGUUUCGACGCCGUGCCUGCCGAAGCUAAUGUGUUAAGUGCCCCGCCUGGGGAGUAUGGUCGCAAGGCUAAAACUCAAAGGAAUUGACGGGGGCUCACACAAGCGGUGG
rnacentral:rRNA from 1 species